rnacentral:lncRNA from 1 species
AGGUGUGGAGGAGCGGUAACGAGGCAGGAGGACCUGGAGGUGGUCAUCCUGGUCCACUGUCCUUCACCAACUGGUCUCUCGCUGCAGGGCCUGAACCAAUAAUGGGGACCAUUAUUGGUUAUUUAAAUCCUCGAAUGUCAACCAAUCGGCGGCAGAGUUGAGUUGGCUGCUGGGUAUAAAAGGACGAGACAAAAAGCACUUCAGUGUUUUACCUCACUUUUGGUAUACAGUCCAGCUUCGUCUCUUGAAGGUUGGGUUGAGUGGACAUAACGGUGCGUGUGGCACUAUAGCCGACCCCUAACUGGCCUGUGACGGUCCUCCACCCCACUUGUAUCAUGCCGGAGUCCAGCCCUUAACGUCUGACAUUCAACCUUAACAAUUCGGGUUAACGGAAUAAUUCGUCCUGACCACUGCACCUGAACUAUAGUUACCAGUGGUUCAUAGUGGUACAGUUGUCAGCGCCCCGGAGGUCUUCACAAGGCAGUCAAAAGCUUGACAAACGCGCCAUGACAAAGUUGCUGCUUAAAAUACUGACGUGGGAUCUCGGACCCUCCACGUGGCCCCAGACGGCUCCCUGGUGGUGGUAGUCUUGGUCUGCUGAGCCAAACCAGUUGCCUGCACCAGUGUGUCGCCUCUCCCUUCCCAAGAGUUCAGGGAAAGUCUCUCCAGUUCUCCAAACACCCUAACCUGUUCACAACUAAUUGCUUCAGAUCCAUAUUACGUCCAGUUCGCUCAUAGAGGCACCCUUGUGCUUCCAACCUUUAACUGCAUUUAAAGUUUCCCAGCUUCCCUCGGCCUCUACCCCAGCCUCGACCACAUCCCCAGCUUCCGUUGGUCACUGCUAAAGUCUUUCGGCCUUCAAGGCCACAUCAAACUCGACACUUCAUCCUGUGGAAUACCUGUUAACGUGAUAGAUGAAGAUGGCUGAUAGAAACUUCCACUUCUCAAGGUGCGUGAAUAAUCCCUGCAGCUGGGAUAAAGUAAACUCUUACUGCUAGUGUUCGCAGAGGCUUCCAGCUAAUUACUAUUGAAGACUAGGAUACGGAAGACUUCAUAAAUUAAUGUGGAGGAGCGGUAACGAGGCAGGAGGACCUGGAGGUGGUCAUCCUGGUCCAGUGUCCUUCACCAACUGGUCUCACACUGCAGGGGCCUACGGCCGGACCUGUAAUUGGACCGGCCAAGUACAGCCGGUUAAGAGGGCAACAACGAAGACAGUCUCUGCACUGGACAUCUUCAACGACGGAAUAAAGAUGUACUACCCAUCACCGGGUAUUAUCGGGCACUAUCAGCGUGACGAAGUAACUAGGCAUAGAACAGCUCUGCGAAUCUGGACGAUGGUACAAAUGGUUGCAGCUGGGAAUCGCAGUUAUGGGUGAAGAGGUGGCCGCGGGAGAGUAUCGGUAAUAGCCAGAAUCCAUCUUGGAUACAAAUAUCUAUCUAUGGAAACGCUUAAAGUUGAGUUGCAGAAUCUGUGACAGAUACCACCUUGACCACUACCCGAGAGAAUAUGAACACCUGAGACAUAUUAGAAAUGUGUAGAAUAAUAAACCCCACAUUGUUUGAGUUGGGAAAACACUAUUUGUCAAAUAUUGAUACUGUUCUUAAAAGAUUCCCCCGUUUUGUACCAGCAAGAUGACGUAAGAUUUUUAAGGGUUGACAUGUUAAUUUUCUUGUUUGAAGAGCUGUUCACUUUAGUCCCAGCUGCGUCUGGGUACAAGUGACAGGAAGAACACCCCAACGCGUUGUCUUUAUUGUAAUGUUGUACAUGUCACUAUGGCGUGUGUGUCCACUCACAGGAUGAGUGGCGCUGCCCAAUACUGUCACUAUGGCGGUGUGUC